rnacentral:lncRNA from 1 species
AUGGCUAACCGUACACUGAAGGAUGCGCACAGCGUCCGCGGCACCAACCCUCAAUAUCUGGUGGGGAAGAUCAUUCGAAUGCGAAUCUGUGAGUCCAAGCACUGGAAAGAGGAGUGCUUUGGACUUAUGGCUGAACUUGUAGUCGAUAACGCCAUGGAGUUAAUGUUUGUGGGUGGCGAAUAUGGUGGCAACAUAAAACCAACACCCUUUCUGUGUUUAAUCUUGAAGAUGCUUCAGAUUCAAUCCGAGAAAGGUAUCACUGCAGAGUUUAUAGAAAAUGAAGAUUUCAAGUAUGUCCACAUGUUGGGGGCACUUUACAUGAGGCUGAUGGGCACUGCAAUUGAUUGCUACAAGUACUUGGAGCCUUUGUACAAUGACUAUCGAAAAAUCAAGAGCCAGAACAGAAAUGGGGGUUUGAACUGAUGCAUGUAGAUGAGUUUAUUGAUGAACUGGUGCACAGUGUGAGAGUCUGUGAUAUCACUCUGCCCCGGCUACAGAAACGCUAGGUAUUAGAGGAAACUGAGCAACUGGAGCCUUGAGUUAGUGCUCUGGAAGAGGACAUAGAUGAUGUGGAGUCCAGUGAAGAGGAAGAAGAGGAGGAUGAGAAGUUGGAAAGAGUGCCAUCACCUGAUCGCCUCCGGAGAAGCUACGGAGACUUGGACAAGCCCCGUCCAUCUCCCACACUGUGCUACAGAAGGAGUAGGAGUCUGUCUCCCAGAAGGCGGAAUCGAUCUCCCAAAAGUAGAAGCCCCUUCUCCCGCCGAGAAAGGCAUCCGAGCAAGGGUCCAAGACAUCACCGCAGCAGAUCCCGAGACCGGCGGCACAGAUCCCGUUCCAAGUCCCCAGAUCCUCACCGUAGUCACAGACACAGGAGCUACUCAAAAUCUCCCAAAAGGUCUAAGAAGAGCCACAAGAAGAGCCGGAGAGGGAAUG